UGCUCCUGUAGCUCAGUCGGUAGAGCGUUUCCAUGGUAAGGAAGAGGUCGCAGGUUCGAUUCCUGUCGGGAGCAU
rnacentral:tRNA from 1 species